AACGAACGCUGGCGGCAUGCCUAACACAUGCAAGUCGAACGAGACCUUCGGGUCUAGUGGCGCACGGGUGCGUAACGCGUGGGAACCUGCCCUUAGGUUCGGAAUAACUCCCCGAAAGGGGUGCUAAUACCGGAUAAUGUCUUCGGACCAAAGAUUUAUCGCCUUUGGAUGGGCCCGCGUUGGAUUAGCUAGUUGGUAGGGUAAAAGCCUACCAAGGCGACGAUCCAUAGCUGGUCUGAGAGGAUGAUCAGCCACACUGGGACUGAGACACGGCCCAGACUCCUACGGGAGGCAGCAGUGGAGAAUAUUGGACGAUGGGCGAAAGCCUGAUCCAGCAAUGCCGCGUGAGUGAUGAAGGGCUUAGGGUUGUAAAGCUCUUUUACCCGGGAUGAUAAUGACAGUACCGGGAGAAUAAGCUCCGGCUAACUCCGUG
rnacentral:rRNA from 1 species